UUAGCCCAAGUGGCUAGAGCCUCUCCCUCACAAAUGUGAGGGAAGGGGUUCGAGCCUCCGCAGACGCAUUGCAGGGGUUUCAUUUAAAUGUCCUUCCUUAGAGCCUCAGAGCUUGAGUGAAGGCAGUCUUUCUCCCAGACUGAGAGUUUGACAUCCCUCGAAUAUUUGAGAGGGUUAAAAAUCUGAGCGGUGUCAUAUCAGCAUAAAU
rnacentral:lncRNA from 1 species